CUUCUCGUGGUGUAGGGGGAACGCGCCUGGUCUAGUGAGUAGGAGUUGCGAGUUCGAGUCUCACCGAGAGGG
rnacentral:tRNA from 1 species